rnacentral:rRNA from 1 species
GAGUUUGAUCGUGGCUCAGGGUGAACGCUGGCGGCGUGCUUAAGACAUGCAAGUCGAACGGUCCCUUCGGGGAUAGUGGCGCACGGGUGAGUAACGCGUAACUGACCUACCCCAAAGUCGCGGAUAACGAUUCGAAAGAAUCGCUAAUACGUGAUGUGCUGUCAGAUUGUGUUCUGCCAGUAAAGAUUUAUUGCUUUGGGAUGGGGUUGCGUUCCAUCAGCUAGUUGGUGGGGUAAAGGCCUACCAAGGCGACGACGGAUAGCCGGCCUGAGAGGGUGGCCGGCCACAGGGGCACUGAGACACGGGUCCCACUCCUACGGGAGGCAGCAGUUAGGAAUCUUCCACAAUGGGCGAAAGCCUGAUGGAGCGGCGCCGCGUGAGGGACGAAGGUCUUCGGAUUGUAAACCUCUGAAUCAGGGACGAAAGACGCGUAAGCGGGAUGACGGUACCUGAGUAAUAGCACCGGCUAACUCCGUGCCAGCCGCCGCAGU